AAUUUCAAAAAUUAGAGAUCUACCAUCCAAUAUCUUAUUAAUCAUAUUUUGCUCCUUCUCUGUUAACAAGCAUGCUGGUAGCGUAAUUUGAAAUCUCUGAAUGCAACCAAAUCACCCUAAUAUACCAACAAGAGUAUUUUUAUUUACCCUCUUGGAACAACAAUAAGCAGUAGAAGAUAUGAAGAGCGUAUAUUAUAAAUAUUUUUCUAAUAUGUUUAAGACACACAAACUUAGCAGGUGACCAAAUUAAUUCCAAUAGGCAUCAUGUAACAUGAAAUAACACAGGAUCUUCAAAGCUUCAGCAGGAAAUCAACUGUUUAAUCACUUGCUAAAAGGAUAAUACGGAGAAGUUACCAAAGAUAGAAAACCAACCAAAUUAGAGCUCAGCAAUUCCAGAAACAGUAGGAAUCCGCGGAAUCAAACAGUUACUGGAAUUUAAAUCAAUCUCUCAGCUUCAAAACAAGUUCUAAAACUCCACCAAGCUCUGAAAUGCCCCAAAAAAAUGUGAGAGAGGACAGGAUUUUGAAACUAAAAUCAGCUUUGGCAAUCUUCGAAUUUUAGCUCAAAAACUUUGUAAUUCCCACUUGUUGUUAGAGGGUGCAGCGCGUGCGUGUUAAGGAGGAGUGUCUAUGAGAGCCAAGGUGAGAAUGGAGAAGAAGAAGGAGGAAAAAAUGGAGAAGAAGACCCGUUCAGAUGCUGUAUUUUUCAGAGAGCAAGGUCUAUCCCCUCUUUAGGUGAUUUUAGAUGUAUUUU
rnacentral:lncRNA from 1 species